rnacentral:misc_RNA from 1 species
CAGGGCUAUAUUUCUCUUCUAGGGAUGAAUGAUCAAUAAGGUCUGCUACUAAAUUAAUGUUAGGAGGGAAAUUUGACGGUUUUGAGACUCUAAAAUCAGGAGCAGAGCGCAGCCAUGGAUCAUCCCAGAGUAAAGUAUUGCAUCCAUCCCCUACAUUGUUUCGAACACCUUUUCUGAGGACUUCUCUUCCAGUUAACAAACUUUGCCAAAUCCAGGAGUUUCGCCAAGAUUUUUUUGCAUCCCAAAAACUAGAGUGAGGAAAAUAGAUACCUUUAAUAAAUCUAGCCCAUAGACUAUUUGGGUGUGUUAAAAGAUGCCACCCUUAUUUUGUGACACUCCUUACCCGUCUACA